rnacentral:misc_RNA from 1 species
UUACCUUAAAGACUAGGCUAAUUCAUACUUGAAAUUAAAGUAAAUUAAUUAUGGAAGAUGUUCAAGAACAACCGGUUGUAUUAAACAACGAUUUAGAAAGGAAAAUUUUUGAUGCUUUCGAAGUGUUUGAUCACGCUGGAAAUAAAACCGUUGAUGUACGAGAUGUUGGAACUGUUAUUCGUUCUUUGGGUGCUUGCCCUACAGAAGCUGAACUUCAAGAAAUGAUUGUUUUGUACUUAGAAGAUCCUGUUAAUCCCGGAUCGAUUCACGUUAAUAAAUUUAUCCCUUUUGUAUCCCAAUUUAUCACUGAACACAAGUAUGAACCUGCUACUCCAGAUGCUCUACUUGAGGCUUUUCAUGUUUUGGAUCCAUUAGGAAAAGGCUACAUAACUAAAGAAUACAUUUCAACUUUAAUGACACAAGAUGGUGAACCAUUUAAUCAAGAUGAAUUGGAUGAAAUGUUGGAAAUUGCCAUUGAUCCUCAUACUCAAACAGUACCAUACGAAUAUUAUAUUAAUCAAUUGAUGAUUGAUUAAGUGAAAUGUAGAAUGUUGGGCACAACACAAGUAUAUAUUUUAAGACAUAUUUAAAGUAAUUAUUAAUUAGUGCACAAUUACAAAGUUUAAAAUUAUCUCCUAUUGCAACUCAAGACCCACAUUUCAUGCAUAUCUAAUGUACAAUUUCUUAACCUAACUAAUUACAUCUUGUAAUUCAGCAACAAUGAUACCACACAAAAGUGUGGUUACUUCUUUAUUAUUAUUAAUGUAGAGGACAAUGUAGUAUUGAGGUGAUUUCGAUGCAACCCAACUUACAUCUAACACAACAUUGCAGAAGAAUAAGACAUUUGUGUUAACACUAGCAGUGUGGUGUUAAGAAUAAAGCACCAAUAUUGAAAUAAGUUGUAAUAAAAAGGUCUUUUAUUAAAUUGAGCACUUAAAAAGCUCCAUUGAAAUGUCA